rnacentral:rRNA from 1 species
UACGUAGGGGGGCGAGCGUUGUCCGGAUUCAUUGGGCGUAAAGCGCUUUAAGGCGGUUCGGUAAGUCGGGUGUGAAACCUCCAGGCUCAACCUGGAGACGCCACUCGAUACUGCUGUGACUAGAGUUCGGUAGGGGAUCACGAAUUCCUGGUGUAGCGGUGAAAUGCGCAGAUAUCAGGAGGAACACCGGUGGCGAAGGCGGGUCUCUGGGCCGAUACUGACGCUGAGGAGCGAAAGCAUGGGGAGCGAACAGG